rnacentral:rRNA from 1 species
UACGUAGGGGGCAAGCGUUGUCCGGAAUUAUUGGGCGUAAAGCGCGCGCAGGCGGUCCUUUAAGUCUGAUGUGAAAGCCCACGGCUCAACCGUGGAGGGUCAUUGGAAACUGGGGGACUUGAGUGCAGGAGAGAAGAGUGGAAUUCCACGUGUAGCGGUGAAAUGCGUAGAGAUGUGGAGGAACACCAGUGGCGAAGGCGGGUCUCUGGGCAGUAACUGACGCUGAGGAGCGAAAGCGUGGGGAGCGAACAGG